AAGAAUGAAAGAACAAGCAGCUCAAGAUGAAAGGAAGAAGAGAAAAGAUCCAACACGAGCACCUAAAUUGGGUGCCUUGUUGUUUUUAUGUUUGAUUUCGUUUGUGUUUGUGAGUAAAUUGAUGCAAUCUUCUCAGGAAAAAUAUGAAAAGACUGUGAUUGUGGAUGAAGAAUCGGAUGGUGA
rnacentral:ribozyme from 15 species